rnacentral:snRNA from 1 species
AUACAGCCUGGUGAUGGGUAUUAAAGAGGGCAUGUACUGAAUGGAGUACUGGAUGUUAUACACAAACAAUGAAUCAUGGAACAUGACAACACUUUAAACUGAGGUUUCCCUUCCCCAAAUGUGGGAAACUCGACUGCAUAAUUUGUGGUAGUGGGGGACUGCGUUCGUGCUUUCCCCUG